UUGAUAUACCAGUUCCCAUAUGAUCAGCAAAGUUAAGCUAUGUUGAAACUGGUCAGUACUUAGGUGGGCGACUGCUUGGGAAUACCGGUUGCUGUAAGC